rnacentral:rRNA from 1 species
GAUGAACGCUGGCGGCAUGCCUAAGACAUGCAAGUCGAACGAGGUGGCCCAUUGAUUUUAUUGAAAGCGGAGUGCUUGCACAAAACUGGAUUUAAUUUGAUUUGGAUUCUCCACCUAGUGGCGAAAGGGUGAGUAACACGUAGGAAUCUGCCUUUGAGACUGGGAUAACAAUUGGAAACGAUUGCUAAUACCGGAUGAUAUAUUAAAUGGUACGUUAUUUAAUAUUAAAAGGAGCCUUUAAAGCUUCACUUAAAGAUGAGCCUGCGGCGUAUUAGCUAGUUGGUUAAGGUAAACGGCGUUACCAAGGCGACGAUGCGUAGCCGACCUGAGAGGGUGAUCGGCCACAUUGGGACUGAGACACGGCCCAAACUCCCAU